rnacentral:sRNA from 1 species
ACUGGGCGCAGUGGCCAUGCCUGUUAUCCCAGCAGCUUGGGAGGCUGAGGCAGGAGGAUCAUGAGUUCAAAGCCAGCCUCAGCAAAAGUGAGGCGCUGAGCAACUCAGUGAGACCCUGUCUCUA